UUAUUCUUCUUUGUUCUUUCCUCUGAUUUCUAAGGAUCAAACUGAAUAAUAGUUUCCUUUGAAUCUUCUGCGGAUGGGUUAUAUGAGGAUGCCGUACAUCGUGCUGCUAAGGAAUCUAGCCCGACCUACGACGAAUUAAGAUAAGUUAAAUAGUUAAUAAUAAUAACUUAGCUCAACCUGGUGGAUUUAGCUCGAUCCUCUCUAUUCGCUUUUCGACGGCUCCGAUCCAACCGAAUCCAAACCCUAAAACCCUAAACUCCAACCCUCAAAAUCCAACACCCUGCACCUCCGCGAACGAGAACCCUACUGCUGCCGUCCACAGGCCAGAGGCCGAUUCGAGAUAACCCGAUGAAUCAAUCCCCAGGUUCGCGUCGAGCUCGCUCCUUCCAACUUGCAAGACCUCAUCUUCCUUGAUGCGGCAACCGCUGGGAGCGAUCACGACAACUUUUAUGAGGGUUUCUUGCGCUUCCUUCGUAUUUUAACUUUACUUGCAGGGGCGAUUUCAAGGGAAAACCUUGGGGUUGAGUUUCUGGAGUUCCUGCCCUUCCUGUUGUUGGCUGGUGAAUUGUUGUUGGUUCGUCAUCUGUAUUUGAUGAUCAAUUAUCUUCGUAGAAUUUGAUACUUUUUUAUAGAUAUCUAACGUAUUAAAGCUGAUUCAAUCAAUUAAUAGCAGUCCUUUUGUUUUGGGAUCUGGAAAAGGAAAUGCGGAAUGAAACAGAAUCAGGAAUUGAGUGAUCGAAAGUUUCAGGAGACCGUCAAGAAUUUUGGUUAUUGCUGGUUUGUCUCAGUAGUUGCUUUGUCAUGCUUCACUAAUAAUCUGCCUAUAUUUUUGUAUGUUUCCUUAGCUGUUGCUCUGUUGAUGAAACCUAAUUAAAUUGGUCAUCUGGAUGGGGUUCUUGGGAAUGCUUUCUUGCAAUGAGACAUAUCUUUUUCCCCUCGAAAAUAUGCUUUCUGCUGAAAGAUUACAAGUCAGAGAUUUGUUUUAUAAAGUGAAUAGCUGCAUAUUUUUCAAACAAUAUCAUAGUCUUAAAAUAUUAUACCUUUUAGCAAAAGAAUCUCAAUUUUGGUAUUUUUUAUUCAAGGUAUUUUUUAGUAAUUUAUAGAACAAACUUCAUUCAACUUUAUCUGACUGUAUGUAACACAAGGCAUUCUAUCCCUAGCAUUCUAGCUUGUUGACAGACCAUGCACGAGGACACAUAACAUAACAUUCUAUUACCAGGACUUAUCUGCUCUUUUAGUGACUAACAUGAGUUUUUUUUUUUCCCACAGUGUGAGUUGGUUUCUCGUGAUGUAUGUUUCCUCUUAUGAUGAGUCUUUUUUGCACUCUAUCAUUCUACUAUUUUCUUAUUUUGUAUUUGAAACAGAGGAAGUUUAUAUCGUAUCUAUUUUUUAUCUCUCCUUCUAAAAGGAUAUGAUGGCUAAGUAAAAGGUUUGAGUAAGAAAACUUAUUGGUGGUGAUUAGAUCAAGUUGGGAGAAAGGAAGAGGGCCCUUGUCCUUGCUCAAGUUUUAGCAUUGUGGCUUUCGCAACCUCUUCGACAACAAGUUUUUCAUGCGUAUGCAUGAUGUUGGGUUGAAAGAAAAGGCGUGGGCUGCAUUCUAAGUUUGAAUGCUAGCCUAGACUUCUCCCAAUAUUUCUUAUGCAAUCCCAACGACCAUCUAAUCACUAUCAUGUUUUCUUCGCUGAUAAAUCCUUCAAGCUGAUCCUUCCAGACCUCAAGAUUUUGUGUUCCUUGCCUUCGUAGUUUUCUUUUAUUGAACUUUUGGUACCUAAGUAGGAUUCUGAAAUUAAUUCUGCUAUCGACUUUGAUAUAAUUGCUGAAUUCAUCAUUUCUUCAUGGUCAGCGGAUAUACCAGAUAAUCUUUGAAAGUAAUUUUUCUGCGAAUUCUUCUUGCUUGUUGCAUGAUUAAUAGGUUUUCCAUCUUUGGAGAAAUAAUGCAUGUGUUUAAGAACAUGUGUCCUAUUUCUAAGAUACCAGAAACUUCAAGUAAGUAUUCUGAAAGUUGUUAGUUUGUGUUUCUUACUGUAGAUUUGUUAGACCACGUUGUUAGUGUAACGGCGUGAAGCAUAAUCAUGAGAGUAACAUAGUCAAGGCGUGAGUUGAGAAAAGCAUUGUUAUCUAAUCUCUUUAUGUGUUUGGUGGAAUUGCUGUCAAUCUAAACUAAUGCGUGCAAGAGGUUUGGCAUAUCUUUUGGCUCGUAUGUUUCAGACUUUCCUGCCAUUUUAUGAUUUAUAUCAUUCCUCUGAUUCUGCAUGAGUUUGGUUGUCAUAUAUAAAGUUUCCAUCACACCCUGAAAUGGCUGUGCAUUAAUGCCGCAGAUGGUGGUAUGCUAAGUUGUGAUCUUAUACAACCUUGUCUUUGAAUACCAUUUGUUGAUGUAUUAAUUUUACCUCCUUCAAGUAUUGACUUAAUGUUUAUUCCCUUUUUUCCUGCUAGUACCCAUUCCCUUUCUUUUCCUGCUAUAUUAUACAUGCUGGGAGAGCCUUAGACACACUCCACAAACAUAUUACCCAGACUGAUGAUAAAUUUACUUGGAAUACCAUUAGUUUGCUGCUUAUAUCAUAUAAUCUAGAAGCCCUCUUUUUUUAUAAAGCCAGAUGGGCAGCACAAGGAGGAUUGGUAUGUUUUCCAUUUAUGUACCACGUCUGGUUCUUAAAGAAAGCACAUGGAGUUUUGUAUCUGAGGUACAUUAGACAUUAUUUACAUGCUAAGCUAUCCAAAAUAAAGAAAAUUUCUCACCUUUCAGCCUUUUUAUUAGAUUAUGAUUUCCAUCGAACUGUAAAACGAUUAUUUUGAAAAUCAGGUUUUUAUUGUCGUCAAUUCAGAUGUAUCAAUCUUUAGUACACCUUUUGAUUAGUCACUGACGAAUUUUUUCAUUUCAUAAAUUCAAUAUUGCUUGUGAGCUGUGUGAUUGGAGCUGCUACCGUCUGUGAUUUUGUCUAUAUCCAUUCUUUCCUUCUUCCUUUGUUCAAUGUGAAUUGGUUGGGCUUUCUGGUUACAUGGCAAUAUUCAUGCCUAUGCCAGAGCGCAGAAAUUUUCCCCCACUUGGAGUGCCAAGGAUUUUAGCUUACAAUUAAUUAAGUUGGUAGUUCUUUUAAAAGAGUCUGCUGGAAUGCCCUCCAAUCAUCUAAAGGGAUACUGUUCUCUUAUGGUCUAUGUGACUUCCUCAGAACUGGUCUUGUCCUUGCAGUGGUAAGAAUGGCAAUGGAUACUAUUUCUUAGAAAGGGAUUACAGAGGUGAUUGCAUGGGAUAUGGGUUUUGACCAGAACUCGCGAUCAACCAUUUUAAAGAGAGGCUUCAUGUGGGUAGGGUGAUUAUGAUGUUCUAAGUUAUUCCACAUGGUUGCGGGAUGUCGAAACGGGUGUAAAUAUGAACAUUCAAGGCUGUAAAUCUAGUUCAACUGGGGUCUCAGCCAAGAUUGCUGCAAAAAGCAUAUGGAAGUGACAAAAAGACUUUGCUGGACGCUGCUGUAGAAAGUUUGCUGGACGCUUUUCGGCCACGACACCUUGCUUGUCCCGGCCAAAAGUGGGUUUUUUCCUCCACCCUGCGCUGUUAUCGUUUUUCAGUGGGAUUUACCCCUUCUGAUUUAUUUUUUUAUUUGCUAAAACGGGCUUUUCACCCCACUCUAAUGUGAAUAUAUACAAGAAAUUCAGAAAAUAACAGAUUUCUAAAAGCCUUUGGUAUUUGUU